CAUCAUCAUAAUCAUACAUAAACUGAAGAGGGGAGAAGGGAUGGAUAGAGGAAAGUGAUAUUUAAUAAUUACAAAGUCAUUUUUAAAUAGUUCAAAUUUCAAUUAUUAGGUCACAGCUAAACAAUUAUGACAAAUAAAAUUAAAUCUGAACCGUCUAUUGCCUAUAGCGAAUCAGCUAUUCGAAAUAAUUUAUCAAUAGUAGAAUAUUGCAGAACUUCUGUAGCUGCUGUAUCUGGUUGCACUGCUGGUGUUUUGGGUCUUACCAGUCUCUAUGGAGCACUGUUCUUUAUUUUUGCAGUGACAAGUUUUUGGUUCAUGUUACUAUGCAAAGCUGGUAUUGAUACUUGGAGGAAGUUUUUCAUUUCUAGAAAGUCCUUACUUUUGAACGGAAUAUUCGGUCACUUCUUCACUUAUAUUUUAUGCUGGACAUUCAUUUAUGGGAUGGUUCAUGUGUAUUAGAAUCAGGGCAUUAAAUAAACCAUAAGUAAUUUUAGGUUAGUUUUUUUAUAAUAGAAAUAAAAAUGGCUACAGAUGAAAGGAAUUUCCGAUCUGCUUAUUAUGAAAAAGUCGGAUUCAGAAGUGUUGAGGAGAAAAAGUCCCUUGAAAUUCUACUGAAAGAAAAACCUCUAGACCGUGGCAAGCUGAAACAGUUCUGUUUGAGGUUCUCUUUACCGGCCACAUAUAGAAGCUUGGUGUGGAAAUUACUUUUAGAUUCCAGAAGAAACUGCAGAUAUUAUCGUAAAUAAAUCCAUUGAAAUGUGGCAACAACAUGGAAGUCUGUUAACCAUUUAUGAUAAACCAAAACCAUAAAUCGCAUUCCUAAAAAUAAAUUACAUUUUCAAUUCAUAUUGUGGCAUAUUUCAUUCUUAAUGAUGUUUAUUAAAAGAAUAAGAAAAAUACAAGUUAAAAUUUU
rnacentral:misc_RNA from 1 species